rnacentral:rRNA from 1 species
GACGAACCGAGCGAACGUUAUUCGGAAUCACUGGGCUUAAAGGGUGCGUAGGCGGGCCCGUUAGUCAGGGGUGAAAUCCCACGGCCCAACCGUGGAAGUGCCUCUGAUACUGCGGGCCUGGAGGGGGAUAGGGGCGUGCGGAACUUCCGGUGGAGCGGUGAAAUGCGUAGAUAUCGGAAGGAACAUCAGUGGCGAAAGCGACUUCCUGGACCAGUACCGACGUUCAGGCACGAAAGCGUGGGGAUCAAACAGG